CGAACUUUAAACCUACAAUCUUCCCCAAAUCGAAACCUUGAUCCUGAGAUUUCCCUCCAAGCUAACUGAAUGUCAAGGCACAAGUUUAACUCUCCUACAUCGAACAGGAAUAAAUACCCUGUUGCUUCAAGUUUGAAAAGAAGCACGAGCAAAAUCUUGACAUAAGAUGUCUCCAUAGAAUGGAUGUCGCAUUGCUAGAGUUUGGCACAUUGACGAACCUUAGGUCUUCUUGAUCAACCAUAGUGACUCCAUCUUCUCAUUCUCCUUCACCAUCUUCUCCAUCUUCUUCAAGAACAGCCACCGCGUCACCGCUGGCCUCGUCACCGCUAGGUAAGUGAUUUGGCGCUUGCAAGUUCAUCUUCGUAGUCCUCAUCUUCUCAUCUCCUAUUUUUCUACUUCACGGGAAAAUCAAAGAACGAAGUUGCCGCCUCUCCCCGGUUGCUGUCGACCUCAACCAUCAACUCUUCAUCUGAACUGCUCUGACCCAGGCAGAUCUAUCAAAGGUGGAUAGGAAAAGGACACCUUGGCUGGUUGUGUUGUUUCAUGUACCAUGGCAUAAUAGUAACAAGGCUGAUCAAUGGUUAACUCAACUCAUGCUUAUUGGAGUUGGCAUAGGAAUGAUGAUGACGAGUCAGUAAAAGCUGAUGAUUUUUGGAUAACCUCUUUGGUUAGCUGGAAAUGUGUUGAUGACAAAAGCCAUGAACUCCAGAGUAUGCUUAUGACACCGUAAAAGCCUCAGAUCUGCCGGUGCCAUCCCUUAACUUGGUGGAUUAGCAAGAGUAUAUAUGACACUACUAGUAGCUUGAAAGGACUAUAUAGAAUAUAGAUUGAUGAUACUGAAGCAUUUAGCAUAUUGAAACUGGUUCUGAUUGUAUAGUUAUAUAUUUGAAUGCUCAAAAGACAGAGAAAUAUAAUUAAGUCAUCAACUUUUAGUGUAAUGAUGAUGUUCUCUUGGAUGGUGUUACUUGUAUUGUGAGAACUUAUUAUCUUGA